UGAUCCAUAUGAGUUCAGCUGCAGUGUUAGCCAUAGCCCUGUACUCAGAUUCACAGCUGGAACGAGAGACCGUGGGCAGCACCUGCCCUUGGGAGGGGAACAACAGCUGGAAACGGCUGCUAAUACCCCGUAGGCUGAGGAGCAAAAGGAGGAAUCUGCCCGAGGAGGGGCUCGCGUCUGAUUAGCUAGUUGGUGAGGUAAUAGCUUACCAAGGCGAUGAUCAGUAGCUGGUCCGAGAGGAUGAUCAGCCACACUGGGACUGAGACACGGCCCAGACUCCUACGGGAGGCAGCAGUGGGGAAUUUUCCGCCAAGAUACUAAGUUUCCGCCA
rnacentral:ncRNA from 1 species